rnacentral:rRNA from 1 species
UACAGAGGGUGCGAGCGUUGUUCGGAAUUAUUGGGCGUAAAGGGCGCGUCGGCGGUGCGGUAAGUCACCUGUGAAAUCUCCUGGCUCAACUGGGAGCUUGCAGGCGAAACUGCCGUGCUGGAGUGUGGGAGAGGUGCGUGGAAUUCCCGGUGUAGCGGUGAAAUGCGUAGAUAUCAGGAGGAACACCUGUGGCGAAAGCGGCUCACUGGACCAUAACUGACGCUGAUGCACGAAAGCUAGGGGAGCAAACAGG